rnacentral:rRNA from 1 species
CCUACGGGAGGCAGCAGUCGAGAAUCAUUCACAAUGGGGGAAACCCUGAUGGUGCGACGCCGCGUGGGGGAAUGAAGUUCUUCGGAUUGUAAACCCCUGUCAUGUGGGAGCAAAUUAAAAAGACAGUACCACAAGAGGAAGAGACUGCUAACUCUGUGCCAGCAGCCGCGGUAAUACAGAGGUCUCAAGCGUUGUUCGGAAUCACUGGGCGUAAAGCGUGCGUAGGCUGUUUCGUAAAUCGUGUGUGAAAGGCGCGGGCUCAACCCGCGGACGGCACAUGAUACUGCGAGACUAGAGUAAGGGAGGGGGAACCGGAAUUCUCGGUGUAGCAGUGAAAUGCGUAGAUAUCGAGAGGGACACUCGGGGCGGAGGCGGGUUCCUGGACAUUAACUGACGCUGAGGCACGAAGGCCAGGGGAGCGAAAGGGAUUAGAUACCCGUGUAGUC